rnacentral:lncRNA from 10 species
GCGUGCCCGCCCGGCGCCCUCUAGGGUGGAAGGCUGCGGGCGUCCUACCAGUGCCAGGACUGCCAGAGCGGGAGGAGCGCGGCGCGGGCCAGCCGGGACUGCUGGACAGCGGGGUCCAGGCUAGAGGCGAGCGAGCGGUCAGUGACGGCUGUGGAGGAGGGAGGCGCUGGGCGUCAGCGCGGGACCCGAGCCUCUGGACCACUGAGCUGGGGGGCUGGCUGAGGUCCACCUCCUAACAAAUUAUUGGAAGGAAUAUGAGAAAAAGACUGUUUAACCAAUUUUUAGGUACGGAAUUACAACCUGAAAUCAAGCCUUCAUUUCCCUCUCAACUUAAUUACCACUUCCUAUAAGAACUUGAUUAUAUGUCUGAGAACCGAGAUAGUAAAAUGAGGAGUCUGACUGAACAAUCGAGAUUACUACCAUUGGACAAACCCUGAGAGGAAUUACUCUUCAAUUCUCCUGGCUUUCGUUAUCAAUUAUAUGAUAUUAAAGAGAGAAAAAAAAAACCUUACCCAGUUAUUUUCCCAAAUGACUGCAAGAACAACUAAACAAUGUAAAUGAUGAAAUAACUCAAAAAGUUUUGAGAAGGGGGUUGUAAGUCCAUAUGUGGAAGUUUAACUUUUCUCCAAUUCUAUUUACUAAUUCACUUUCAGAAAGGUUAAAUCUUUUUAUUUUUUGAAACAGAGUCUCGUUCUGUCACCCAGGCUGUAAGUGCACUGCAACCUCUGCCUCCCAGGUUCAAGUGAUCCUCCCACCCCAGCAUCCCAAGGAUUACAGGUGUGUGCCACCACGCCAGGCUAAUUUUUGUAUUUUUAGUAGAGACGGGGUUUCGGUUCGCCAUGUUGGCCAGGCUGGUCUCCAACUCCUGACCUCAAGUGAUCCGCCUGCCUCAACCUCCAAAGUGCUGGGAUUACAGGCAUGAGCCACCACGCCCAGCGAACAGUCAGUGUUUUUAUUCAUUUCUUAUUUCUUUUUCUGAGGUGGAGUUUCGCUCUUGUUGCCCAGGCUGGAGUGCAAUGGAGUGACCUCGGCUCACUGCAAUCUCCGCUUCUCAGGUUCAAGCAAUUCUCCUGCCUCAGCCUCCUGAGUAGCUGGGAUUACAGGCAUGUGCCACCAUGCCCAGCUAAUUUUGUAUUUUUAGUAGAGCAAGGUUUCACCGUGUUGGUCAGGCUGGUCUUGAACUCCUGACCUCAGGUGAUCCACCCGCCUUGGCCUCCCAAAG